UAAAAUUUUAUAAUUCAAUUAACUUCCAAUGUCUUUUUAAGGUGAAUUUCAGUUAAUUUUUUAUUAUAGAGAAAUAAAUGCAUAGUUUUGAAUUAAUAGUAUGUAAUUUUAGGUUAAACGAGACUCAAGUAUAUAUACAAAAGCAUGUGCAUAUUAUAUUUAAAAAUUAUAUUGUAUGAAUAUUACAAUAAAACAAUAUAUAAAAGAAAAAAAUAGUAUUAAAAGAACUAGACAGUGCACAAAUUGAAGGAUAUAGUUGCAAUUAUAAUAGAUAUUAAACGAUAAUUAAACAUUUUUAUAGGAUUAGGAAUGCCAUGAUAAAAUGUUAUAUAGCACAGAUUUUUAAAAGAAAUAACAUUAGAGAACGGAGUUCAAAUCAAAUUAAAGGCAAAUUUCAGUAAAAAGUUAUAGCCAACUCUUAAACAGGAAAGGGAAAUGAUAAAUUUAUGGGGUGAUUUAAAUGAUAAACCAAGGGGAAAUAGGAGCGUGAUUAACCAGUGCCAUUUGGCAAAAUUUGAAGGGAGAAAAGACCAUUUAGUUGACUAUGCAUUGAAAAGAGUAGUUUUGAAAAAAAUAAAAACAUCAGAAUUUAAAAGAUAAAAAGUGGGAUUAUGAAGAAAAAUAAGGAUAUUUUUAGCGAUCGGUCGUUUUAUAUCAAGAUUUCUGAAUGUCCAGGAAUCCAAUGAAACUAAACUACCUUGCCAGAAAGAGAACUUUGAUUGGGGAAGAUCUAAUUGAAAGGAUAAUUGAGGAGAUAAGAGAGAUGAAGAGAUUUGAAGCUAAGGUUGUAAGACUAGUCUGUAAAUCGAAUCCGAUUAAAAAAAAGAAAUCGUUAGAAUAUGAAACAUAAUGUUGAGCAUAAAAUUAAAUUAAAUCAAAACUAUAUUAAAAAUAAACAAAAACUAUAUUAUUAAUUUAAUAACUCAAAAAUAUUAAACUCAAAAGCCACAAAAAAAUUAAUGAAAAGUCGCGGAUACGUAUUUUGGAAACACGUUGAUAUCAUUAUCAACGCUAAAAUAAGUAUUCCAUUACUUGUACAAUUUCACAAAAUCAGUUAAAUUAUGCCAAAAUUUUAUAAUUUUUGGCUUUAGUGG